UUGGGGCCCCUCAGCUUCUCUGCCAUCUGCCCCAAGAUGUGUGUGCAAAAUGCCUUCACAUGCCAUGCUCUGGCACGCUACCCCUGUCUUAGAAGCAUUUUUGUUCUCAGCACUCUGAGACAGGGAAAGAGCUGGCUGAGGAUUGAGCCCAGGAGGGCAGAAGAGUUUAUUUCUCUGUAGGUUUGAUUUGACUUUGGGUAAUCCUGGAAGGGGCGUAAUCUUUGUGUGAUCUUGCCAGAGGAGUGGCUGGCUCUGCACGGCAUUAGCCUUUGAGUAUAGAGUUAAACGCACUAACACAUGACGCCGCAGUGGUAGCCAGCGCCCAGAGGAGGUGAGGUACAGUACAGGCUCAUAAACCUGGCACACUAGAGUCCCUUCAUGUUACAGUAAGGACACUCCCAUAAGUCUAAUUUCAGAUAUAUGGUAUUGGAGACAGAUGGUUAGAAGCUUUCCCAUGCACACUCUUAGGAUCGCUUCUUUUCCUGAUGUAAAAGUAGUUAUUUUUCACAGCACUCUGUUACCCGUUCCACUUUAUUUUUAGAAUCAAGCUCGUGAACACUUCCUCAGCCAUCAAUGGAUAAUUACCACAAAUAUUGGAACAAAGACGCUCGCUGCUCAAACCCUUCCCUUUCCCCCCAACUCUGCAUUCACUUUGUGGAAGACGUGUUGCCCAACAUAAGCAAUCUGUCCUGCAAUCCAUGCCAAGAGUGGGAUUUAUCAUUUCACAGUCACUGGAGGGUGCAUUCAGUCUUGCAGCAGCUGGGGAUGCCCCAUUUAGAAGAUGUCUGGAUGAUUUUAAGCAUAUUUCCUAAGACUAAGAAGCAGCCUGGAUUAGGAGUAAGCCUCCCUGAAGCCAGGCUGCAUAGUCACUUGCAGGAAUGGAGCCUCAGUGUGUAACAUCUGUUGAAGGCUAAUUACCAAGAAAGGCCAAUGUUAUUUGCUUAGCUGUUGAGUAAAUAUUAUUUUAAUGAUUAUGAAGGAACCUAGGACUAUUUUUUUGAAGGGAAGGAUGUUACAAAUACUCCUACCCCCCAAAUAGAAAAUCUGUCCUUUGGCCAAAUCCCACAGUCCUUUGCUGGGCCGGUAAAGGCCGAUCCCAGGAGAUGGGUGAAUUUGUUCUUGACAUGGCAUUGGUCUUUUUGGGGUACCCUUGGAUCAGGAUACAACUGCAAACAUUGAGACUCAGAAUAAACAUGUGACUUUGGACCACAGGAAGCAGGGCGCUUUCUGUUAUUUCAGCAGAAGCUAGUAGCAUUGUCAAGUGUCUACCCCAAAACGCACUCACACUUGAAUUUUCAAAAGAUAGGGGUUUAAAUGCCAGUUAGCAAUCAGUCCACUGCAUUUCAUUAAUACCUCUGCUUUGCUUUUUCCAGUACGCAAAAUUACUCCAGUAUUGCCUACACUAGGGGUGUCUAGCCUGUGGCAAACAUGCAACACGUGACAUGGGCUGCCUCUGUAUGUGGCACAUGGCAGGUCAAAGAGAGGACAAGGCUCAGAGCAGCAGAUCAGGCAGGGGAAAGGGAUUGGAGUUGCACUGGGGGAGGCUACUGGACUAAUUAGUGGCUCUUAACUAAAAAGGUUGGUCCCUGCUGCCCUACGCUUGCUUAGCAGGGGAGAUGGCUGGGGAGUACUGGGAUAUCAUCGCCUGCUGGCAGUGACUGAUGUAAAGACUUCAGUGGCAACUCAUGGCCUUCAGCUCUGCUGGUUUCUGCCUCACUAGCUGAGCCCCCCCUUGUCUUCUAGUGGCCUAAAACUUUGCAGAGCCCUUGGUCUGUGUGCAAAGGAUAAAGCCAUUCAGAACCACCCAGGUCCCUCUGUGCAACGCUGCCGUCUGAUCACAAAAUAUACAACUCUGAAGCAGAGAGAAAGGGAGAGUGCUAUUAAUACCUUAACUGUCUUGGGUGAUCAGCAGUAUAAACACGUGGUUAUAUAAUAGCAGGAGUUUCAUUGUUUUCUCUCCUCUCUGUCCUAGAGAUAAUGUUUUCAAUAACUUUAUUUUCCCCAGACGCUGCAUGUCUCCAAAGGAAACGCAGAAGAUAGAUGCUGACCUUCUCCUUUCCGUCUAUCCUCAGGAGAUCAGUAACUCCUUUCCUCAUCAGCUAGAAUGACAUGCUGCUGAUUGUCAUCUUCCCUGUGAAUUUGCAAUGGCAUCUCACUAGGAAUAGCUAAUAAGAUUUCAGUUGUACUUAAGUUACUGUCAUUAGCAAAGCCCAAUGUCCUUUUCCACGCACAGUAUCAGCUAUAACUUGUGAGCUAACUCUGUAUGAGAUUCAACAUAGUCAUGCUCCUGAUUCCAUGAAACCUGUAAAAUAUGCAAUGAAGAGUAUUAUGCAUAGUAGCUCCUGUAAGUCUAUAAUGUUUUACUGCCACAUCCACUUUGUCUAUAAAGUAUCCUUUUGUCCUUUCAAAUAGACUGAUAGCUGGCAAGAAACAGGACUAAGAAUAGUUGUGAAGGACUAAAGUGCACGGCUCUUCUCUGCGACAUGACUGUACAAAUGGCUUGAUGACAUUACGGGAUUGCCUGUGUCUCAGUAUUUCCAUGUCAAAGGCAAGCUUUUUUCCCUCCUCCCUGCCAGCUGUGAAAGCUCAACCUUUGUCCUCAGACUCAGUCUGAAUCCUUUCCUUCCCACUGCAGAUAAAAGCCAGGUUGCGAUGCCUAUGUAUCAUUCCUGUCCGUCAUCAUACAGCAAUCUUCACAGCUCAUCCUCAGUUGGGGGCACAAUAGCGUCUCAAGAUCUCUGUUGUGAUAAGGACCUCUUCACGCUAGGCUCUGUGAAGACACACACGAGUCGAUCCUUGGAGCAGAGCGACUGCCUUGGGAGCCAAGCAUUGCCACGUUGGCUGAGAUUUCUGCAUGUCCUUCUGGCCACACGGCUGGCAUGCACAGCGUCACCGGAACAAGUGGGACUAUGAAAAUGCCCUGCCUUUUCCUCUAGACCAAUACGGCUACAGCCUGGAUACUUGACUCCACCCUGAUUUCUCCUCUGUUUAUAAACUGGUCUAAAAUUGAGCACUGUCUGGCAGAGAAAUGCCAGCAUUUUGAGAUCUUCUCUCUUGCAUUUCUGUUGUGGUUUUUAUAGGUUGUACUGACUUUCUCAAAAGACAGCGGCUUUAUGGAAAAAAUCAAGGUUGCUGCCUUCCUGAGGGAAUUAAAACGUUGUUCACUGGAAAGAAUGACAGAAGCAAACAGUUUUGUGAGUUCUUUAUUAGAGGUUUUUUUAUGCUUACAUUUAGCAUCUCAUCAUGAAAUCAUUAGGGGGAAAAAAGGUUUUAGCACAACCGUUAAACUAAUAACUUUGUAUUAUAUAUUCAUGCAAAUCAGUUCACACAGUUAAGUGCUUUUUAGCAUCCUCUCCUUUCCUCAUCCUUUCAGUCCUGCCAGACUGUUUAGGUUGCAUCUGUUGCACAAAUAGGUUGCAUCGGCUUCCUAGCAGCUAAUGCAGUAUUUUGCCACAAACUAGCCAUGUCUACACAAGACACCGACUGCACAAUAGUCCAUAACACCGUGUGGCAGGAAGCACAAGGCGACGCUACUGUGCAGUAGUCAUGAGUUACUGUACAGCCAGCGUCAUGAAAAAGCUGUUCCUCAGCAAGACUGCAGUAACAGAGUACUUAUAAAUAAGUACUAAAUGACUGCAUAGUAAUGACUGCGCAGUCAGCAUCUCAUGUAGACGUGACCACUGAAAAGCUUAAUGCAAAAAGUGAACAAAGGCAAUACAAUUCAGCGCUCA